UACGAAGGGGGCUAGCGUUGCUCGGAAUUACUGGGCGUAAAGGGCGCGUAGGCGGCCAGUUUAGUCAGAGGGGAAAGCCCAGGGCUCAACCUUGGAAUAGCCUUUGAUACUGGCUGUCUUGAGUUCGGGAGAGGUGAGUGGAAUGCCGAGUGUAGAGGUGAAAUUCGUAGAUAUUCGGCGGAACACCAGUGGCGAAGGCGACUCACUGGCCCGAUACUGACGCUGAGGCGCGAAAGCGUGGGGAGCAAACAGG
rnacentral:rRNA from 1 species